UGGGGAAUAUUGGACAAUGGGCGAAAGCCUGAUCCAGCAAUGCCGCGUGAGUGAUGAAGGCCUUAGGGUUGUAAAGCUCUUUUACCAGGGAUGAUAAUGACAGUACCUGGAGAAUAAGCUCCGGCUAACUCCGUGCCAGCAGCCGCGGUAAUACGGAGGGAGCUAGCGUUGUUCGGAAUUACUGGGCGUAAAGCGCGCGUAGGCGGCUCAUCAAGUCAGAGGUGAAAGCCCGGAGCUCAACUCCGGAACUGCCUUUGAAACUAGUGAGCUAGAAUCUUGGAGAGGUUAGUGGAAUUCCGAGUGUAGAGGUGAAAUUCGUAGAUAUUCGGAAGAACACCAGUGGCGAAGGCGACUGACUGGACAAGUAUUGACGCUGAGGUGCGAAAGCGUGGGGAGCAAACAGGAUUAGAUACCCCCGUAGUCC
rnacentral:rRNA from 1 species